rnacentral:rRNA from 1 species
GAAGAAAGAGGGCGGCGUGCCUAAUACAUGCUAGUUGAGCGAUGAAGAUUGGUGCUUGCACCAAUUUGAAGAGCAGCGAACGGGUGAGUAACGCGUGGGGAAUCUGCCUUUGAGCGGGGGACAACAUUUGGAAACGAAUGCUAAUACCGCAUAACAACUUUAAACAUAAGUUUUAAGUUUGAAAGAUGCAAUUGCAUCACUCAAAGAUGAUCCCGCGUUGUAUUAGCUAGUUGGUGAGGUAAAGGCUCACCAAGGCGAUGAUACAUAGCCGACCUGAGAGGGUGAUCGGCCACAUUGGGACUGGGACACGGCCCAAACUCCUACGGGAGGCAGCAGUAGGGAAGCUUCGGCAAUGGACGAAAGUCUGACCGAGCAACGCCGCGUGAGUGAAGAAGGGUUUCGGAUCGUAAAACUCUGUUGGUAGAGAAGAACGUUGGUGAGAGUGGAAAGCUCAUCAAGUGACGGUAACUACCCAGAAAGGGACGGCUAACUACGUG